rnacentral:lncRNA from 1 species
CAAUUCAUUUGAAAAUUCACCUUUCAAACAAAGUGCAUUCAAAUAAGUUCCCAAAUGAACCCCGGUGAGUUAGUGCUUAUAUAAGCAUGGGUCAUAUUUUAAAUAUUGUAUAUAAGAAUAGGUCAUUCUUUCUGAAAUAUUUAUAUAACUAUAGGUACUGAAUUUCAGUGAAUGUUAUAUUAAAAUGGGUACGUUUUUUGAGGCAAAAAUGGCACACCCCUACCAAGAAAAUAUCGAAGUUAACCCCCCGUGUGUCAUCCUAGUUUAUAUAUACUAAAAGUCUAUCAACUUAAAAGUGGUGGAAAAAGAUGAGUUUGUGUAAAAAUAAUCGUUUGCAAGUUUGAUACAAAAAUUCAAUGAAAUCAAUGAAAUAUGGGAAAUAUUAAUAUCCAUGUAUGAUAUUGAUUGGAGUAACAUCUUUCAUAACUAUAUAUAUCAACUUUAUAUGAAACAUCACAAACGUGAUUGUAUAAGGAAACUGACAAGAGUUCAUGACCAAAGAGCAGCUAGUAUUUUGAGACAAAACAUAAAGACGUUUAUCCAGGGCCCUUUUUAUACUAGUCUUAGUAUAGACCGUUCCUGUAUCAUCAUAAAUUCUCAGAAAAUAGGAAAACGGAAAUAUUUCCUCAUUGUAUCUUUGAUUUAACAAAGAUAAUAAUGAUGAUUGAAAAAGGAAACUGAAAAAUAUCAUGACCAAAUAAGUAUUAUUUUGAGUAAAAAUAAAGGA